CGUGAGAAAUUACAGAUGAGAGAACGGCCUCUACGCCAAAGGAAAUUGCAAUCUGUUUGGGGAAAGAAGACAAGUAUGCAUGAAACAACUGAAGAACUAACAGAAGUGCAAGGAAUAGAAUCAGAGAAUCAUAGGAUAUGAGCACUGGAAGGAAUUUUGGAAAACAUUUAAUUCACCUACCUUCUGUCUAUGGAUAAGGAAGACUUAAAGAGCUUAAAGUCAGGGUAUGGGUUGAACUCGGUGGCUGCUGAAUUUCCUUCCAACUCUGAAAUUCUGUGAUUUGCAAACAGAUGUCAAUGGGGAAAGAGGCCCAGCAGGGGCCACUUAAGUGCAUCCUGCCCAGAGCCAGACGUGAACUCAAGAGUGUCAGCAGGAGUAAAACUGAAAGGCACAGACAAGUCCAAACACCUGGCUCCAUGAAGAGAAUGCAGGAGCAAAGACAGGAAGUCUGCCACCUUCCCAGGCAAGACUGGUGAAAGCCAAACUGCAAAAGAUGCCGAAUAGAAGAAACUGAAAUUUUCUUCCUUUAUAUUCAUCCUGGCUCUAGAGGAGUUUUGUUGAAGCUAAAGACCUAUUAGCCCUCUAACUGGUUAAAAUUGCUCUGUGGGUAUCAGGAGGGAAAUAAAUUCCUUCUAGGUUCAUAAGGUUUAGGGGUUUUUUUAGUCUCAAUGGGGAGUCAUCACAGAGCUCAGCCAUGUGAUGUAGCUGCUGUUGCAAAUGUUCUUUCUGAGCUGCUCCCCAUGGCUAUUGAAAAGCAAUGUACAAAGCCUGGCUUCUGGCCAAGCACAAUGCCAGUUAGUUUCCCAUUGGCCCCCCUCUGGCCUCACUAAAUGUAUUUUUUAGCUCCCUGAAUGGAUCAGGGUUCUUUGUGUGUGUCUUCUUAACUUAAAAUCUCCCUCAUUAAGUUUUAAAAUCCAUCCAUCUCAAGACUCUUACCUUCUUUUUAGCUAGGUUUGCUCUUCUCUGGCAUGAGAAGUGGUGGUUGGUUUGAAGGAAAUGUGGCAAUAUAUUUGUUUUCUCUUUUCAAAAGGCAUUCUUUCCACUGGGGAUAUAUUGCCUAAUAAUCCAUCACUUCACAGAAAUUGAACAAGGAAGCACUGGCACAAUCUCAACUGCUGCUGUGUACAUGGCGCCCAAAUGAUCAUGUUGUAUUUGCUUUUGGCAAAUACAAUGGAUGGUAAGAGGAAUGGUUAGCCACAGUAUUUGAGUUGCAGUUGGGUGUAUCAGUCCUUUAAGCCAAAGUAACCAACAAGCUAUACUUAAAACUAACUUGGCAUGAGAAGGCCCAGUUUGUAGUAUCACAGGAUCAUAGUUUAGAGUUAGGAAGGCAACUUGAUGGCCAAAUGGAGUAAGAGAUAAAAAUAGAUCACAAGAUCCUACAUGAGAGAUGGAAAGUACUCAAAGGCCAUAGGGUCCAAUUCCCCCAUUUUACAGAUAAGAAAAGGGAGGGC